rnacentral:lncRNA from 1 species
CUGCAGUUUUGUGACCACGGCGCCCUGAACGCGAGCCAAAUCCAGGGGUGCGGUGGUCCUCACUACCCCGUCAGCUGAGAGUGUAGAGAGGGUGUAAGAAGAAACAAACCUCUGUUCUGCCCCAGGUGACAUUGGACAGGUGAAGAGAGAUGAAGAACGUGAUUGAAGAAACAGCCAAGAGAAGGAGCAAGGGUCAGGGGUUCCUUAGCCUCUGCCCUCCACAGCUUAUCUACAGGUCAGAAUUUCACUGCCAGACUGGGGUCCCCCCCCCCCCCACACACACAUCUGACUGCUCCUUACCAGGGAUAAGUAAAGCAAAAAGAAACUCCAGGAGCCUGAGCAGUGCCAUGGUAGCCUGAAGAAAUGGUGGAGGAAGCUGUUUCUCAGGCUAACUCUGUUGCCUGGCUAGUUGCUUAAACAUAGCCAUCAGGUGGCUUCCUAGACUCCAGCUCUGGCUCCACCCACCCCGUGACAGAGCAGUUAGAUCCUCGGGACAGGCUCCUGGAGCUGCUGGAAAAUCCCAUCCUCCGCUGUUUCCAGUGAAUUCUUCCAUUCAUUACUGCGACCCUAAGGGGAUACAAGCUGCGGAUGGUAAAACUGGCCACAUUGUGCUUGCAGACAGAGCAAACCCAGUGCCCAGGAAAAUUAGCCCCAAGACCUGCUUCCCCGCAGAGUCUGCGUUCCAGCUGCCUCCUCUUACCAUUAGAACCGUAUCUGCCUAUAAAAAUCUAAGCUCGGCCACCAAGAAAAUCAAAAGUUAGCCGGGCGGUGGUGGCGCACGCCUUUAAUCCCAGCACUUGGGAGGCAGAGGCAGGUGAAUAUCUGAGUUCGAGGCCAGCCUGGUCUACAAAGUGAGUUCCAGGACAGCCAGGGCUACACAGAGAAUCCUGCCUCAAGAAACAAACAAAAAAUAAAAUAAAGUUAAAUUAAAAAAUCAAAAGUUGUGUCUACAUUCAACAAACAAAAGAAUCCUUGAUAGAAGGAAUAAAACUAAGGGUUCCUUGUGUGAAUAUCAACUGCAGGGUACCAAGGACUCUUCUGAGAGGAAAUGAAGAUGUGCUAUGUGUUGCUCUGGAACACAACUACACCAGCCUAAGAUUAAUCUGCAGACUAAGAUUUACUGAGCCAGUGUCUUUAAGAUUUGUCAGUUUAUUAUAUUUCCAUUUAAAACGCCUUUUUGAGACAAGGUUUCUUUAUGU